CCACUGUGCGAUGCUAUAGGGAGAGGAUCGGCGCCACUGUCGACUGCGAGCUCUGUCUUGCCGUUGAAAAGGGAGCUCUGUCGCUGUCGAGAUCUCCACCUAGGAAAGUGGACAGUUCGUGUAGCCCAGCAAUGCCUCCAUUGCCUCUGCCUCCGCAGUCGUGUAGCCCUCCGCCUCUGCUCGCACCUCGCAGUACCGAUUUAUAGCUUUCAAUGUGUAUUUCUUGUACAAAAUUUACAAAGGCAAAAUGAAAUCUUUGGCUCUUUCUUCUUCUUCCUCAUCAGUCCCUCGAAUUCCUUUUUCUCUCGUUCAACAUUAUUGUGUAUCAUCGUUUUCUUCUGUCCCAGAAAUAACAGAUGUCCCCAGUCCCAAACCUGGUGCUGUUGUUGACUCCAACUGGACCUCAGAGUGGGGAAGAUGAAGGAGGAGAUGGGGUU
rnacentral:lncRNA from 1 species